UACCACAAUGAAAAUAAUAGCUUUUUUUAUUUUUUUUAUUUUUUUUUUUGUUUUGUUUUGCUGCUGGCUUUUAUAUAUAUAUAUAUUUUUUUUUUAUUAUUAUUUUCCCACUGUACAGCAAGGGGGUCAGGUCAUCCUUAGAUGUAUACAUUGCAGUUACAUUUUUUCCCCCACCCUUUCUUCUGUUGCGACAUGAGUAUCUAGACAUAGUUCUCAAUGCUAUUCAGCUUUUAUUUUUUUAUAUACUGUUUUGUAUUAAUAUAUAUUAUUACUCAUAAUUUCUGUUAAAAAUAAUAUUUAUAACAAGUAAAAUAGACAUCAUUUCCAUGGUGUGUGUUGACAUAUCUAACUGGUGUUACUGUUAUGGAGAAAUCUCUCCUAAAGCAGAGAAUCCAGUAGCUCUGGGCCUAUGGUGACAGGAAGGAGGGUUGCUCAUUGUGAACUUAGGGACAGGGGCAUAGGGGUGAGAAGAUGCAGGUCAUGGCUGUCCUGAUGAGGAUGAAUCAUAGCUGCUGGCUCAGGCAGGGAUUCCUGGUGCAGCACACUCACCCACCCUCACAGUCACAGUGCCAAAUGGAAGAGUGCCUCAGUCAGCUCCCCUGCCUCUCUGGGUGUCAUGCUGCCCUUGAGGCUCAGGGGCAUCUGUGUCUGUGGCUGACCAAUCCCCUGUGAGCCUCAGGCCCUCUAAGGAUGAUAAGCCUUGGGGACCCGGUGGGGACAGGGCUGUGACUCAUCUUUGUAGAAGCCUGGAAAUGGAGGGGCAAGGAAGGGACCACAGUGGGUGACCCAGCAGAGUGUCCCCCGUUGGCCUGGGGGGGAGAGCAGUAGAGACAAUGCCUGUGUCCAUCCUAAGCUCUGCCACCCAGGUCCCCCCUAGGGUGGAUGCUAGUCACCCGGGCCUGUGCUCCAAGGGCCCUUCAUGGCCCUGUGAGCUGCCUGGGGGCAUCCAAGACAGGAAUGCCCAGGCUGUGCCUUCAGGCCUUGUUUGGUCUCAUCCACGCAGCCCUGUGUGCAUUCUGCCCACUGGGGUCCCGUGUCCAGGCUGGAGGGGAGGAGGUGGUGUGGAAAGAUGCCCAUCCUGAGCACCAGGGGCUCUGCAGCAGCACGUGUGGUCACAACACCGUGAAGGUUGCACGGAUGGUAGCUUGUGUACCUGGGUGUGGGACGAGUUUUAUUGCUGUUGCACAAUGUACAAGGCUACUGAUUCUGUUCAUUUUUUUCCUGAUAAGAUCAUUGUUUCUGAGGCAAUAGAAGCUUAAUAACCAGAACAAAAGCCAGAGCCAUUUUUGCUAAUCCAGGUACAGCUGAUUUAUAAUGUCAUGUUAGUUUCAGGUGUACAGCAAAGGGAUUCAGCUACAUAAAAGUAUUUUCUCAGAUUCUCUUCACUUCUAGGUUAUUACAAGAUAAUACAGUUUCCUGUGCUGAUCAGCAGGUCCUUGCUGUUUACCUGUUUUAUAUAAAGUAGUGUGUCUGUUAAUCCCAAACGCCUAAAAUAUCCCCCCCACCCUAUUGGUAACCAUGAGUUUAUUUUCUGUCUGUGAACCUGUUUGUUUUGUAAAUAAGUUCUUUUGUAUCAUAGUUUAGAUCCCACGUAUAAGUGAUAACACAUGAUGUUUGUCUUUCUCUGACCUCAUUUAGUAGGAUAAUUUCUAGGUCCAUCCAUGUUGCUGCAAGGGGCAUGAUUUCAUUCUUUUUUUAUGGCUGAGUAAUAUUCCAUUGUAUGUCUAUGUUUUCUCUCUAUAACAUCAUCUUCAUCCACUCCUCUGCUAAUGGGUGUUUAGGUUGCUUCCAUGGCUUGGCUAUUGUAUUCAGGGCUGCUGUGCAUGUGGGAGCAUGUGUAUCUAUUGGAAUUAAUAUUUUCGUCUUUUCCAGGUACAUGCUCAGGAAUGCGAUUGCUAGCUGAGAGUGAUUUACAGUGUUCUAUCAGCUACAGGUGUACAAUAUUGCGAUACAGUGUUUUUAUAAAUGAUGCCCCAUUUAAGGUUAUUGUAAAAUCUCCAGAGUUCCCUGGUGGUGCACUGGGUCAAGGAUCUGGUGCUGUCACUGCAGUGGCUCAGGUUGCUGCCAUGGUGCAGGUUCGAUCCUUGGCAUGGGAACUUCCACAUGCUAUGGGUGCACCAAAAACAAAUAACUAAAAAUCUCGAAGUUAUUUUCCAACAGCAUGAAGUGACUCCUGACCCUGGCCAUGGCAGAAGCAGCCGGUGGUAGCCUUGUUCUUUAACAGGUUACAGCCAGAAAUGCUGGGUGAGACAUGGAAGGCGGUGGUCUGAGACCUCUGCAUCGGGUGGACAGUCAGGACUUAAAGCAAUGACACCACCAGGUUGAAGAGAGUCUCCCCCAAAUCUGUGUCCCUGGAAUCUCAGAAGAUGACCUGUCUUUGUGAAUGUCACAGGUGAGAUGAGCUCCCACUGGAGCAGAGCGGGCAGUUAAUCCGAUGACUGGUGUCUUUUUAAGAAAGGGGGACAUUGGGGUAGUGUGUCUCCCCGCCAAGGGGCUCCCAGGCUCACUGGCAAACCCCGGAGGCUGGGGGAGGGGCUUGCGUCAGGCACCACCCGCCCCUCCCUCAUGGGGAGCAAGUCUCUGUCUCUAAGCAUCAGGAUUGGGUGACUGGCCAUGAGUUCUCCCACCUGUGACUCUAUGUUCUUGAAGUCAUGCAUCUUUGAACCAAGGACCAGCAGCUAAACAGGAGAAGGCAAACGUGGGAGAGGAGGCUGCCCCUACGGGACGACUUUUCUUUUUAGGGCCGCGCCUGUGGCAUAUGGACGUUCCCAGGAUUGGGGUCGAAUGGGAGCUGCAGCUGCCAGUCUACACCACAGCCACGGCAAUGCCAGAUCCCAGCCAUACCUGCAACCUACGCUGCAGCGUGCAGCAACAUCAGAUCCUUAACCCACAGAGCAAGGCCAGGGAUUGAACCCUCCUCCUCACAGACUCUAUGGCAGGCUAUUAACCCACUGAGCCACAAAGGGAACUCCAUCAUCUCUGACUAUAAAGUGAGGUUUAAAAUGGGCAGCCGUGGGAAUCCACCCCAAGCUGCAUUCCUGGCCCCUGUCCUUUAGUUUCUCGUCUUUUGACCUCGGACAGAGGAGCCAGGGUAGGACCUGAGGGCUCUGUAAGGUUUUCUGUGGGAAAGCUGUUAAGAAUGCUUUCAAAACCCAAACUGAAUCCUCUUCCCUGUGGGGUUUUAAAUGCCAGUCACUUAAAAAAGACAACUUCAGGAAUUCCUUUUGUGGCUCAGUGGGUUAAGAACCCAACUAGCAUCCAUGAGGAUGAAUGUUUGAUCCCUGGCCUCGCUCCGUGGGUUAGGGAUCCAGGGUUCCCGUGAGCUGUGGUGUAGGUCUCACAGCUCAGAUCCCACAUCCCUGUGGCUCUAGGUGUAGGCUGGCAGCUGCAGCUCCAGUUAAAUCCCUGGCCUGAGAACUUCCAUGUGCUGCAGGUGCAGCCCUAAAAAAUAAAACAAAAAGCAAACAACCCUUCAGAUAUGACCUCAAAACUUCAAUUCGAUGUCAAACUCCCACAGGUGAGAGGAGGUUAUUACUUUUCAGAAAAGUAAACUGCCUUGAAAAACGACAGCCCAGCACCCUCCCCGAGGCCAUAACACCCAUGUUAACAGGCAGUGAAAGGCCUCUUAGGGUGGCCAGUUCACAACCUGCCUUUGGAGAGGGUGCUGGUCUCAGAAGCCAGGCUGGAGGAGGGUCCUUUGCAGACGGGGGGAGGGGACCUACUUUGGACGCGUGAGAUUCUGAAAGAUCAGCCGCGUUCUUCACCAGCAAAGGGUGGUUUUCUCUCUGAAAGGGAACCAGUUGCUGGUGAGAUGCCCAGACUUUCCCGCGUUCUGCCAGGAGGAGCGUGGCGCUUCACAGCAGCUCUGUGGGCAGAUUCUGGAAACACAGGAGCUGUCAUUGCUGGGCGAAAUAGAGGAAAGCAAUCUAGAGGGGAGACCCUGGGGGAUUUCAAAGUCCUUGGGGCGUUCCCAUGGUGGCCUGGCAGGUUCAUGACCGGAUGUUGUCUCCAUGAGGAUGCAAGUUCGAUCCCUGGCCUCACUCCAUGGGUUAAGGAUCUGCUGUUGCCGGGAGCUGUGGUGUAGGUCGCAGUUUCGGCUUGGAUCCUGUGUGGCCAUGGCUGUGGUGUAGGCUGGCAGCUGAAGCUCCUAUUCGAGCCCCAGUCCAGGAACUUCCAUGUGCCACAGGUGCAGCCCUAAAAAGGCAAAGUCCUUGAUAAUAACCUAUAAGGGAAAAGAACUUGAAAAGAGUAUGUGUGUGUGUGUAUGUAUACCUAUGUGCACAUACGUGUGUGUGUGUGAGAGUAUAUAAGAGAAUCAGUGUGCUGUGUACCUGAAACAUGACAUUGUCAACUGACUCUACUUCAGGUUUUUUUUUUUUAAGUCCUGAAUAGAAUCCGAUGUCCAGGAGCUUUCACCUGUUCCCAGCCGUCUCUACUGCUCACCCCUCUAAGCCCUAAUUACUUUCCGCCAGGCACAAGGUCAUUGGACACACCAGUCAAGAUAAAACACUGGUUACAUGUUGGCUUUUCCAUCAAAGAAGCCCCCCUGUAUAUGCCUUAGACAAGUCUUAGUGUUUGAGGGUACAGGAGAUUUUCAUUGACUCAGACUCCAUGACCCAAGGGUGUCUGAAGCCCAAUCCCGGCAUCUCAACCUGGAACGAUGAGACCAGACAGGUCAGAUGCAAAAUGCAGCAGGGAAAACGGCUGCCCUGUAAUUUGCCCUGGAGGAGCGGGUGUGCCAGGCGCAGUCCUGGCCCCAAGCACAUGAUUUGGGGAUGAUGGCUCUUGACCUUUCGGGGUGGCAGGUUUGGUUUGGUCAGGGUGCUUUCUGCCAAACACGGCACCGUGUGCUGCUUGUAGCAGGCAGAGCGUCUUCAUCGGUGGUGAUGGCAAGAUAUUGAUCCCGGGCAGGAGUCCCCCCGGGGUUUUACGUGUCGCCCAGGAAGGCGAUGAAUCUCCUUUAUGAACACGACACAAAGUAAUCAAUGCAUUUGGCAGAUUCAUUAGGACGUUAAAAAGGCUUGGAGAAGAGAUGGAAUGCCUCAAGAAUCCAUUUAAAAGGAAGAGUAAUAGGGUUAUUAUAUCCAUGCCAGAAUAUUUUACCAAGAACGGCCGGCAUCGCAAUAUACAUAACGUUCUGUUUAUAGCAAUAAAAACCGGCUCACAGGGAGCAGGUGCGGAAAAAGACAAACUCAUGAACGUUUGUGAAUGGAAGAAACAGCCCAAGGAGCUUUAAGAUCUUGGGAUGAAUUAUCUUAAAUCUUCCAGAGCUUUCUACUCAGACCAAGGGGUUUUUUCUAAAGGCAAAACUAUUUUUUUGUUGUUUUCAAAAUUUUAAGUUAAAAAUCUCCCAUUCAGCUUGGUAAAAUUGCUUAAAAGUAAAGGGUUUUUUUUUGGAGUUCCCGUCGUGGCACAGUGGUUAACAAAUCCAACUAGGAACCAUGAGGUUGUGGGUUUGAUCCCUGGUCUCGCUCAGUGGGUCAAGGAUCCAGUGUUGCCAUGAGCUGCGGUGUAGGUCACAGACGCAGCUCAGAUCCCGCGUUGCUGUGGCUCUGGCGUAGGCCGGCAGCUACAGCUCCGAAUAGACCCCUAGCCUGGGAACCUCCAUAUGCCAAGGGAGCAAAAAAGGCAAAAAGCCCAAAAAAAAAAAAAAAACUGCAAAGGAGAACAAAGAAAAAAGUCAACUACCUCUAAAAGUAAAUAGGAGUUCUCUUGUGGUGCAGAGAGGGUUCAGGACUCAGCAUUGUCACUGUACCAGCCUGGGUUUCUGCUGUCAUGCAGGUUCAAUCCCUGGCCCAGGGAUUUCUUCCAUAUGCUGCAGGUACAGCCAAAAAAAAAGAAAUUUAAAAGCUAAAACAGUUUUUCAAAGCUACUGAGGUAAUUUUAAAAGCAUUUCAAGUGAGGAAAGGGCUGAAUGUGAACUGCCUUUGCAUGAUGCAGCCUCUAAAUAAGAUCAACCUUUCAGAGUUCCUGUCGUGGUUCGCUGGUUAAGGAAUCCGACUAAGAACCAUGAGGUUGUGGGUUUGAUCCCUGGCCUGCUCAGUGGGUUAAGGAUCUGGCAUUGCCAUGAGCUGUGGUGUAGGUUGUAGACGAGGCUCGGAUCCCACAUUGCUGUGGCUCUGGCGGCUACAGCUCCAGUUGGACCCCCAGCCUGGGAACCUCCAUAUGCCACAGAAGCGGCCCUAGAAAUGGCAAAAAGACCAUAAAAAAAGGUUUUCUUUUUCUUUUAGUAUUGACAAUAUUUAAAAUGAUGUUUUUGGAGUUCCUGUUGUGGCUAGCAGGUUGAGAACCCGACAUAGUCUCUCUGAGGACGCAGGUUCAAUCCCUGGCCUCAGUGGGUUAAGGAUCCAGUAUGGCUGUAGCUGCGGUGUAGAUUGCGGCUGCAGCUUGGAUCCUUCAUUGCUGUGACUGUGGUAAGGCUGGCAGCUGCAGCUCCAAUGCGACCCUAGUCUGUGAACCUCCAUAUGCCACAGUGCAGCCCUAAAAAGACAACACAAUAAAAAUUUUAAAAUUCUAAAAAUAAAAUUGUUUAAAAGCAUUGAGUUAAUCUAAUUUUUAGAAGCCACUGAAUGUAACAUUUCAGUGAGGCAGGAGGGCUGAGUGUGAAUUGCAUGUCUAUGAACCUGCUUCCAAGUAAAAUUAACUUUUUAAAAGAUGUUGACAGUAUUGAAAAUUACGUGUUUAUCGGAUAGAACAGCGCUUGAGAAAGGCAAUAACGUCUAGAAGUUGGGUUUCCAUCAAGAGGCAGAGCCCUCUGCCUUCUGGUUUCCUGAGGUGACAGGCUGGCCACCAGGGAGAAAUGCAGGAUUGUCCCCUGUCCCUCCUUCCCCAGGAACGUCAGGCAACCACGUCCUUAAUCUUCCGGGCAGUGAACGGCUGCAGGACACGAGGGUCAGGCUCAGAGCUGGGAGGGGUCGGGGGUCUGGUGGAGAACUGUGUCGACAGGCAGGAUGGACGCCUGUGAGGGGGGUUGGAAGGAAGCCACUGCAACCCUCCAAAGUUUCUGCUUACCUUGACCACCUAAGCAUGGGGUAAGGACAACGUGUGGCCAUGGCCAUAGGACUUUGUGACCCCAUGUCAUGGUUUUGGAGAAGCAAAAUCCCUGGAAACUGAAGUCCCAUGAGGUGGAGCUGGCGUCCUCUGGGGCAUCUCAUUUAUUUCCAUCAGGGCUGACCCCCAGCAGGCUCUGUCCCAAUGUCAUGGGUGCCCAAGAGUUGGUUGGAAGAUGCCCUGUGCCCCUUUAAAAUUGGGUCUCCAAGACAGCCAACAGGUACAUGAAAAGGUGCUCAACAUUGCCAAUCAUUUGGGAAAUGCAAAUCAGAAGUACAAGGAGAUAUUCAUUGCAGCUCUAUUCGCAAUAACCAAGACGCGGAAAUGACCCAAAGUUGUGAUAUCAUAUGUUGUGGCUAGCAGGUUUACCUCCUCUGUCUGACUUUGCUCACUCAGGAUGAUCAUCUCCAAGUGCAUCCAUGAUGCGGCAAUGCCAUGAGUUUGUUCUUUUUCAUGGCUGAGUAAUAUUCCAUUGUGUAUAAGGACCACAUCAUCUUUAUCCCUCUGUCGAUGGACUUUCAGGUGGUUUCGAUGUCUUGACUACUGUGAAUAGUGCUGCUAUGAACGUAGGGGUGCAUGGAUGUGUUCCAGUUAGGCUUUCUUCCAGAUGUGUGCCCAGGUAUGGGAUUGCUGGAUCCCAUGGUAGUUCUAUGUGUAGUUUUUUGAGGAACCUCCAUACUGGUUUACAUAGUGGUUGUACCAAUUUAUGUUCCCACCAACAGUGUAGGAGGGUUCCCUUUUCUCCACACCCUCUCCAGUAUUUUUUUUUUUUUUUAGGGCCACACCUGCAGCAUAUAGAAGUUCCCAGGCCAGGGGUCAAAUUAGAGCUACAAAUCACAGCCACAGCAACACCAGAUCCGAGCUGCGUCUGCAACUGACACCACAUCUCACGGCAAUGCUGGAUCCUUAACUCACUGAGUGGGGCCAGGGAUGGAACCUGUAUCCUCAUGGAUCAUAGUUGGGUUCAUUUCCACUGAGCCACAAUAGGAACUCCUCCCCAGCAUUUAUUAUGUGUAGAAGGUCCACUGCAUUUUUAACCAGUUCCUCUACCGCUUCAAACGCUGGCCCCACAGAGGUGCGCUCAGGGAGAAAACUGCUGAAUUUGCAGAGACGAUUUGCAGUUUUGUCAUUACUUGUCUGGGUUAGCAGGAGCCUCUCAGCCUUGGUCCCAUUUAUGGAAGAACAAAUCCAAGAGCCGUUUUCUUUGCACCUUCCUGAUGUUCAAGCACAAUGUUGCAGUGACUUUGUGUGUCAUGACACAUCGGCUGUGGUUUCAGGAGUUGGUCUGAAACAGCACGUGAAUCCUGGACCAGCUUCCGCUGGUCUGGCCCCUUCAGUGGGUUGUUGAUUGCUUACCUUGAAACGGCACCCGCUUCAACUGGUUUUGCCACCUUGAGGAGGUUGCUGAUUCAUCAAAUCUUGAGUUAUUUUACAAGGACAACCUGGUACCUGUUCAAGACAGAAGCCCACAUCUCCAGGACGACCCCAGAACCAUGAAUCUUCUGUCUGCAGAAACUAAAGAAUAGAAAAGUUGCCGGUGCCACCCUUGACGAGGCGGGAACUCUUUCAAUGGGGAGCAUCUGGCUUCAGCCACAGGGGUAGCAUCUGUGGCCUGACUCAAGACUAGCCAAUCAGCUUCCCCAACUCCUUGAACUCCACCCAGCCUCUGGAUGGAGGAGACAGGUUGGAGAGCCUUGCUUCUGGGCUCCUUGCUGGUUGACCGCACGACAACGCUCUUCCUCUUACUAAAGCUGGUGCCGUGGGUUGGCUUCUGUGCGUGUCCGACGGGGAGCCUCUGCUCGGUGACAAAUCUGACCGUUUCUCAUGUGCCCAGUCGCCUGAGCAUCGGGCGUCUCAGCCAGUACGCCCUCUACACACCCCACUGGCUGCUCAGGAGGUCUGAGAUGUGUGUCCCCGAGGGAUGACGGAACGCUGGUGCUAUUUUUCAUCAGGCUGUUGUGCAGGAUCCCUCUUCGUCCACCGGACGCAAAGGUGUGGGGUCAGGAGAUGCAAACUAGGACACGGAGAAUGGAUGAGCAAAGAGGUCCUGCUGUCCCACACAGGGAACUCUGUCCAGUCUCUUGGGAUAGACCAGGAUGGAAGAUGAUAAGAGAAAAAGAAGCACCUGCCUGGAUUGGGUGUAAAGGAUCCUGAGAGCGACAGCUUGUGACGUCCUCCUGAGUGAUGCUGAGGUGAUGCAGUCCCGUCGUCUUCAGCCUGCAAAGCCAUCUUGCCCAAGAAGCCCCAUUCCCGGGGCAUCCGGCCAUACGAGAAAGGCUGCCAGGGCUAAAGACGUUACAGACGAAGCACCUACCUUCCUGAAGCCUGUGACUCCCGACGGCGUCCCUGGAGGACGUCCCGGCGUGAAGGCUGGACGCUGUCCUGUACGGUGAAUCAGAUGACUCCUCUGCUCCACCCAGUCCACCUCCAAGGGGGAGCAUGAACAUCAGGCAUCAUCACCACAGAUCUCCAAUACCGUUUGAGUUAAAUGGAUGCUAUGGGGCCUCCCGCGUAGGAGGGUAUGAAGUAUGGAGAGAGACGGGAGCUGCUCAAAUGGACACUCACCUUCCUCCUCCUCUCCGUCCCCAGGGGCUCCAUCCACACGGCCUUUCCUGCUUCUCAAGGCUCCGUCUUGAGACCUGCCUGGGCACAUCCACACUUGUGGAGCCAGAGGCAGCCUCAGGGUCUGAACGCUGGCACCUGUCUGUGGAGCAGCCGGGAUUCCUCGGGGAAAAGAGAAACAGGUUCCGAUUAUUUUAGGGCCGUGACUGCAGCAUGUGGAAGUUCCCAGACUAUAGGGGUUGAAUCGGAGCUGCAGCUGCCCGUCUACACCGCAGCCAUGUGGGAUCCAAGCCACUUCUGUGACCUACACCACAGCUCACGACAGAGGCCAGAUCCUUAACCCAGGGAGUCCCCAUACCUCUCAUGAGAAGAUCUCCUGAGCAGUUCCCUGAGGCCGACGGAAAGGGGAACUGCCUGGGCGGACACCGGUCUCGCUGGGAAACUGAUGGUUGGUUCCGACGUGGCAGCGGCUUUGAGAGUUUUUAGAGAUUCCCCGAGAGAAAUCACUCUCUGCCAUCAAAUGACCACAGCAGAAUGACCGCAGUGCUCACAGCGCUAAGACUUCCCGCGAAGCCGUCUGCUCUGCUCCUGGGACGUCAGGUCAUAGGAGCUGGAAGGACCUCGCCGUCUCGGUGACAGUGACUACAAUUGGGAUUAACUUUCGGAGCAGAUGCUCGAUGGCUGCCUCCCACCUCUGUCACUGACGACUUACUUUCCAGGCAACCUCCCACCCUGGGUGCACGUGCCCACUGCCCUGCACGGAUGCACACAUGCAGACACAGACAUGUACAGAGAUGACACAUACACACCUGUACACACACGCUCACAUAAAGACACACUUGUAGACACAUGCAUACACAAAACAUACAACAUGGGCAGACAUGCACAGACACGCAGAAACAGAUACACACAUGCACAAAGACUCACACAUAACGCACAAGACCACACCCUCACACGGACACCCCUGUGCACACAGUGAGUUCUCUAGAAUCCAAAAACCACUCUCCUGCCUUCUCUUUAACCAAGUUCAAAAACUACAGAUUUAUGUCCUUUCAUUUUUCUGAAUUGAAAAUACAACCAACAGUUCCCAGGUUCAGAUGCAUAUGUUUCUAGGCGUCUCAGCACUGUUGGAUGUAUGUAUAUUACAUAUGCUCGGCUGUCCCCACUUACACACGGACAUUCUAGAGGCGCUUGGGGUAGAUGGAUAUAUGUAUACACACACACACUGGGGUAUAUGGACGACCAGAUCAAUAGAUACCAGUUGCUAUAACGCACAGUAUGAGUCCGCUCAGCUGCCAAAAGCAGAUACCCCAGAUGGGGCGGCUUCAACAAGAGGCGUUUAUCCCUCCUGGUGCUGGAGGCUGGCAUCUGAAGUCCCCUGGCAAGGCGAGGCCACUGCCUGGACGUUCACAAGUGCCCUGGCGGUUCUUACUGCGAGCCGGCUGGCUGGCUGGAGGAGACCUGCAGGUGACCACAGAGGAUGUCCAGGGGCAUGAGAGGAGAAGGGGAGCUGCCAGCAUCAUCUGUACCUCCCUGCUCUGCAGAGAUGCAGGAAGCAGUUCAGCUUCGGGCUGCUCUGGAGGGCAGGCAGGCGGGCGGGUUCCAAAACCUUCGGACUCAGAUGGUCCCUGCUAGCCAGCUCCAAACUCUGUUCCUGCAGAUUCAGCCUCAGUGCAUCUGAGUCCACACACGUGUUCCAGAACAGGGGUGAACCGGGGUGCUGGAUGUUGGGGCACGGGGAGGUGGGGGUGCAACCUGACCUCUGACACUGCAACGCCCCAGCAGGCAGCUUCUCAUGGGGCUCCAGCCAGGUGGACCGGUUGGGCAGGGGUGGGCAUGCUCCCCUUUGGAAGGGAACCCAAAGCACCUUAAGUCCUGACCUCACAGAGUUCGCAGGCUCCUAGGGACGCUCAUGAAAAUCAGUUCGUGGAAAAAGUAGAUCUUUCUCCCUGAGCUUUCGGCUUCUGCUCGUCUGUCCGGUCCUCAGAGCUCCCCAAGGAGUUACCUUCCCUGCAGUGUCUGCUCCCUCGCAGCCCUGGAUCCCACAGCCUCUCGUGGUCCCUCUAAAGAAGUACCACGGACCGGGCAGCUUCAAAGGAAGAUGUGCUGCUUUCGUGUUUUAAAGGCCAAAGUGCUCAAGUCAGGCUGCCCGCAGGGCUGGUUCCUCCUGGAGCAGCUCCAGCGGAGAAUCUGUCUGCGGCCUCUCCCAGCUUCUGGAGGUGGCAGCAGUCCUGGGCGUGCGGUCCCUCCUCAGAGCCUGCAGCCCAGCAUCUCGCGAUCAAAUGGUCCUCUGCCUCUUAUGGGAACCUCUGUGAUGACGCUGGACCACCUGGAAAAUCCCGGCCAUCUCCCCAGCCAAGGUCCUUCGCGUGGCCACAGCUGCCAAGUCCCCUCUGCCGUGGGACGUCACAGAGUCGCAAGGUCCGGGGGUCAGGGUGUGGUCGUCCUUGGGGACAGGGCUCUGUCCCCCACACAGGGAUCAGGAUGUGGACGUCUUUGGGGACGUGGUUCUGUCCCCCCCCACACACACACACUGAGCUCCUUCACUUCUAAUGCUGUCUUACUGUAUCUUUAAACAACAGCCCAGAAAUAAAUGCACACACCUAUGGCCCCUUAAUCUUCCACAAAGGAGGCAAGAACAUAAAAGGGACAAAAGACAGUCUCUUCCCAACCAGGGCUGGGAAACCUGGACAGCUGCACAUAAAUCAAUGAAACUAGAGCACACCCUCACACCAUGCACAAAAAUAAACGCAAAAUGGGCUAAAGACACGAUGCCAUAUAUCUCUGAGAUCCCAGGCACAACAUUUUCUGAUGUAAAUCAUACCACAUGUUUUCUUAGGUCAGUCUCCCAAGGUAAUGGAAAUAAAAGCAAACAUAAACCAAUGGGACCCAAUCAAACAGUCUUUUGCACAGUGAAGGGAACCGACAACAAAACAAAAAGACAACCUAUGGUUUGGGAGAAAAGAGUUGUGAACAACGAGGCUGACAUGGGAUUAACCUCCAAGAUAGACCAAUAGCUCCUGCAGCUCAAUAUCCCAAACAACCCAAUCAAAAAACGGGCCAAAGACCUAAGCAGACAUUUCUCCAAAAACAUACAGGUGGCCAACAGGCACACGAAAAGAUGCUCAACAUCCCUGAUUAUCAGAGAAAUGCAAAUCCAAACGGCAAUAAGGUACCCCCUUCCACCUGUCAGAAUAGCCAUCAUUAAGCUAUAACAAAUGCUGGAGAGGGUGUGGAGAAAAGGGGGCCUCCCCCACCCUGUUGGGAUGUAAAUUGGUACAACCACUAUGGAG